AAUGAAGAGACAAGGUCUUGCUAUGUUGCUCAGGUUGGUCUUGAAUUCCUGGCCUCAAGGGAUCCUCCUCCAUUGGCCUCCCAAAGUGCUGGGAUUUGCCCAGCCCCUAACUGUUGUUUUGUUAAGUUGCAUUUCUCAAGAUUGGGCAGAGUAGCUUCCUAGACUUGGUGAUUUAAUUUUACUUUUCUUGUCUUGUUAUUUCUCUGCAUUCAAUGUUACCUUAAUUGUAAAAUAAAAAUUACCAAGACAUUGCUGAAUAUAGUUGUUGAUUAGUGUUCCCUUGAUAGUAGUCCUGCAUUUUUACUUUCAGCUACUGCUUAAUCACAUUCAUUUGCAAAAUUGGAAAAUUUUUACUUUGGCUAAUUACCAUAGGUUUAGAACUUUCUGGUCUUCAGCUCCAGAAAUGUAUCGCUGUGUUGAGAUCAUGUUUUAUUUCAUCCAUGUUUAUUUGAAUACUGCCCCUCUGAAAAGCUGACUGUUUUUGGAGCUUUUAUACACAAGUAUGAGUGAGGAAAUUACUUUAGGUGUAGAAUAAAAUUGUGUAGAAAUAAUUAUCUUUGAAAAAAUUUGGUAUUCAGGAUAUUGAAUUGGAAGUGUUGAAGAAGCAGCUGUUUUGUGUGUAAUACGUUUCUCUUGUUUGAGAAUUUACCAGUUUUUUGCAGUUGUAGCUUUGAACUAUCCAUUCCCCCCUUAAAUUUAGAUACCCUGACAACCAAAAAUCUCUUGAAUUGUCAUGAAGUACUUUAGUAGAAGUUUUAUGGAAAAACACAACAUAGCUAUGAUCUUUGCUGGAAGCUUCAAAAAGGCAUCAUCGUGUGAUGCUUUUUAGGUAGAAAAACUCCCAGAAAUAAGAUAAGGUACCUACACUGGGCAAAGCCCAAGCCUCUUACUCAUGUUUCCUGGUAAUCCACAGCAGUGGUUUUGCUCCUUUCAUGACAUUGUUUUUGUUGUAGUGUUUGUCUUUCAUAAAAAUUCUCCAUAAAAAUAUAUAAAAAUUACCUGUCUUCCAAAUCAAACUUUUAUCAAACCUUCCAAGCUGAAAGCUGGUACAAUUUAAGAUCAUUUUACCCAGGAACAGAGUAAUAAUUUAUUUUGUGUUUACUGUUUCAUUGGACUUACUGAUUUAUUGGUGGUGACUUGAUCUUAUGUGUACUUGGUGACCUUAAAGUAAAUUACCUGGGUAGUUGUGGUCAUUUGACAAGUUUUUAUUGAGCACACAGCCAUUUGCGCUCUUGGUGUACAGUGGUAUAAAGACAGACCAGGUCCCUGUUCUUACGGAGCUUAAAAUACUAUGGAAAGGAAGAGAAAAUAAACUAACAGAAAAAUAACAAUUUCAGCUGGCGACAAGUGCUACGAAGAAUUUAGAGAAGGGUAAGGAACUACAGAGUGAUGAGAACUGGGUGGAGUGACUGCUUUAUAGACAAUGUUGAGAUAAUGCAUUUAAUUUUUUAGGAAAAAGUAAUGCUACUUCCUUUUGGAGCCGGGGAUAAUUCUUAUGUAGGUUUACCUGUGCCAUUUAGCUCAUUUGGUUGGGGGACAGACAGCUUUUAGAUUUGGAGCCCUUGUGCAUAGGCUGCUAAACUUAUAAACUUAGUUCCAUGUUGUAGACUAAACCUAGGCCAGCUAAUUUACUAGUAUUGUUAGUCAUUAGGGUGGGAGAUUAUGAAUGGAUUCACUUACAUAUUAUUUAUUCAUGUGGCAUAUAUUUGUUGUGUAUUUCAGUAGGUGCUGAAGAAAAUUCCAGGAUUAAGAAAAACUUUCUCAAGUAGCUGUAGUUUACCAAAAUAGUUAUCAGAACUAAUUUGGUUCAUUAGGACUUUGAGUAAAUAGUAGGUCUCUCGUGUCCUAAAUGACUUGAGCUAACACAUUCUGCAGUCUUUCUGGCACUUCUUUUCUCUUUUGCCUCAUCACCCAUGCUUUUUCUCUUUGUGGCAUCUUCUGUGUUACUUUUCAUAACUAGUACUCCCACUUCCCUUUUUACCUAUAGAUACAAACUUUUUCAACGGUCGCAUACAUAGAAGUGCACAAAUCGUAAGUAUAAGGAUUUGAUAAAGUUUUGCAGAAUGAGCAUAUCUUUGCCACUAGCACCCAGAUUGAUUUUUUUUUUUUUUUUGAGACAGGUAUCUGGCUCUGUUGCCCAGGCUAGAGUGUGGUGGUGUAAUCACAGCUCACUGUAGCCCCUACUUUGAGGCCCAGGUGAUACUCUCACCUCAGCCUCCUGAGUAGUUGGGACCAUAGACAUGUGCCAUCAUGCCUGGCACAUUUUUAAGGGCUUUUUUUUUUUCUUUUUGUGAGACACGGUCUCCCUAUGUUGCCUAGGCUAGUGUCUUAUUUCUGGGCUCAAGCGAUCCUCCCGCCUCAGCCUCCCAGAGAGUUGGUAUUAUAGGCAUGAGCCACUGUGCUGGCUUGCACCUAGAUUCUUAAAGAGAACAUUACUAGAACAUUACCGGAAGCCCCUUGUGCACUGUCCCCUGUGGGCCACUUCUCCCACCCCAUUCCUGUCUUUUAAUACUAGAGAUCAGUUGUGCUUGUUUUUGAAAUUUAUGUGAGUGGAGUAUACUAUGUAUACAGUACACAGUAAAUACUGUAUGUACCACUGCCUAUAUACAGUAUACUCCACAGUGAGUGAAACAAGCCAGACUCAGAAGCAUACAUACUGUAUGUACCACUUUGCUUAGUAGCCACAGUGUAUGCACCAUGGUACAUGCAUAUACUUCUGAAUCUGGCUUGUUUCACUCAUGGUUAGGUGUGCAGGAUUCAUCCAUGUUGUUGUGUGCAGUUCUUGCUUAUUUUACCAGUCUGUCUUAUCCUGAGAAUAUCUUUGACAUUCAACUCUGCAUGCAGACCCUUCCUUACACGUUCUAGAGAGAGGACCUGUCUUCACCCUGUGUUUAUUACCCACAUACUUGAACAGCUGUUUCCUCCAGGCAUCAUUAUGCAAAAGGAAUGAAACCCGGUGUGUGCAGCUUUUUUAGAGGACGUAAAAGGAGUCAGCUCUUGCCUCUCAUCAAUAGUAUUGUUUAUCAGUCAUUUCUCUUUUGAGGCAUUGGUUGAAUAAAUGGGAAAAUUCCUGCUUUCAAGGAACUUAGCAGACUUGUUGACAGAUAAGACCAUAAGAAGAAAGCCAGUGAAGUACCCAGUGAUGUGAACGCCAUGGUAUGAGCAAGUACAUAAUAGAGACCACAAGUGCUUUUUAGAAGUUAGAGAUAGUCAUUCUCUGGGGCUUCCUCAGGAAAAUCCUCGCUGAAUCUGGGAUCUAAACUGGGCCUUAUGAUUCUUGGAUAUAAGUUCCCUACUCCCCGCCCCACACCCCCUCUAAAAAAAAAGUACUAGAAGUUACACACAGAACUGUAGCCUUGGAGGCUGUAGGCAGUGCAUUUAAAGUACUUCUGGAGUGGUUUUGAGCUUCAGAGCAUUGACACACUUCCCUAAAUAACUGUGACAAUUCUUUCUAUUUGCUGUUGCCCAUCGGUGAUUUCAGUGGCCAGUAGUCAUACUGGAAAGUCUGAUAAUAAAGCAGGGGAUCAGUCAUGUGGUACCAAACCAGUUGUGGGGAAUGUUAGAUGUGUUAAGAUGUGAUUAGCAACGACAUUCCUGUUUGUAAACUGGCAUCUAUGGCGGUUUAAAAAUGGUGGCAAAACCAUUUUGAGUAUUGUUGGAAAUGUUAUCUGUUCUGCCGUGUUAAUAUACCUAUAAGUUGGUAGUUGCAUCUUGUACCCUUGAUAGUCAUACUUUGUACAUUGUGUAUGCCACUCUUCUGUUGAGUAAUUUGGAUUAAUUACUUUGGAGAUUGAAGUCUUGACUCAUUCACUUCACUCAUUUAUUUAGCUGUAUUUUCAGUUCCAUGCAAUGAGUGACACAGACUGUGCUGCCAAAAAGGAAUUCUCAGUAAGGGCAAUGCACAUAAAUUACUGUGUUACUCAGAAAUCAUGAAUAGUUGAGAUCACAAGGAAAUCUACUUAAAUUGUCCUGUGGUUGGGAAAAGAAACUAGUGGAAGGAAUAUGUUAAAAAAGCAUCUUUCUUAAAAUGUAUUCAAAAUAUUUUUCUCUACAAUUUAAGAGCAUUAGCAAAUACAACCUAGGAUGAAACUUUAACAGCCUUUGAGAGGGACAAGAAAUGAAAUUAAGGGUGAUAUAUGAUGCCAGUAUCAUCGGUGUAUUGGGUCUCAUAAUACAUACAAUACAUGGUAGUUAGUCAUAGGGAGAAAACAAACCUGGUGGCUGCUUUCUAAGAACAAAUCAGAUUUCUUGUGUAGCUAUGUGGUUUAACUGUUCUUGCCCUUCUUUUACAAAACUAAACAGAGUGCUGGUUCUCAAACUUUAGCAUGUUAUCAGAAUCACUUGGAAGAAGACUUCUUCAACACAUUGCUGAGUCCCAUUCCCAGAGGUUCAGAAAAUUAGAUGUUGACAUUUUCAAAGUGAACUUAAGAGAAGAUAAUUUCAAGAAUUAACAUUCUUGAAAUGACAAAAUUACAGAGAUAAGAGAACACAUUAGUGGUUGCCAGGAGUUAGGACUAGUGGCAGGAGGGAGGGAGAUGGAUGUAACUGUAAAAGGGUAGCAAGAGGAAGAUCUUUGUGGUGAUGAAAUUUUGUUUUCACUGUAUGCGUUGCUGGCUUUAUUUCCAGUUUCUUCUCUAGUUAAAAUAUGGAGGAAGUCACAGGACAUCCAGUUUGUUCUUGGGUACUAUGGGACAAAAUAUAUGACAGUAAACUAUCAGCUCAUCUUGGCAAGUACUUUUGGUGUGGACCACUGAAGCAUAUUUGUAGGAAGGGAGUUACAUUUUGGUGCUCAGGAUGGGAGUGAUGAUAGUUUCAAAGAUUUCUAUUUUGGAAGAGG
rnacentral:lncRNA from 1 species